rnacentral:rRNA from 1 species
GCUUUUCUUUUCGGAGCGCCGCAGGGGGUAUUGUUCAACCCGGGGCGCUUUCAAACGCCAUCCGUGUGGUAGAGGUAAUCACUUUCGGAGGAUCGAUAACUUUUUUCGGUGGGGAGCAUUGACCGUUCCCCCGGAAUAAAUCCCGGCCAAAUUCCUUCCCGCCACCGCGGUUAUAAGUAGGGGGCCAGCGUUUUUCUGAAUUAUUGGGGGUAAAAGGCGCGUAGGCGGUUUUGCAAAUCAUACGUUAAAGAUUCCGGCUCUACCCGGGGGAGGCGUUUGAAACUGUCUUAUUUUAGGUUCUGAGAGGGAGGGGGAAUUUCCCGUGUAGGGGUGAAAUUCCUUGAUAUUUGGAAGAACCCCCAUGGGGAAAGCGGUCUUCUUGGGCUUUCCUGACCCUUAGGCUCGAAAGCCAGGGGAGCGAACCGGCUUAGAUACCCCCGUUGUCCUCGCCCUAAACGAUGUGCACUCGGUGUUGGGGGUCUCCACUCCAUCAGUGCCGCAGCUAACGCAUAAGUAUCCGCCUGGCUCGACUGGGG